AAUUUUCACACAUCCUCGACUAUCGUUGAGCCAAACUUCAAGCCUCGAGGCUCCCAAAAAUUGUGAAGAUGAAGAAAGCAACGAAAGACAGUCCUUUACACGGGCAAGUGUAGAAGAUUGCUAGGGGAAGGGGAACAAAUAUCAUCUAGCUUUCUCUCUCUUAUAGGGUAGAAUAAAUUGCUCUCUAAAGUUGAUUUAAUAAUCUACUUAAGGUAGACUUCAAUAGACAUUGGAAGUAAUUUAUUUCUCUUUCCUAGAAUGAUCUAAUUUUCAAUUAAAGAGGGAAUCGACAUGAAAAUAGGAAACAAUCCUAUGUUUCCUAAAGCAAGAAGAUAUCUACACCUGCUGCCAUUUCCUACGAGUAGCCCAACAGGUGUGGGGGCAUUUGUGGAGCAAAAAAUAGCCAAGAAAAAUAUAAAAGCAACACGUGGAUUCUUGGGUAAAAAGAUAAAAUUACCCUUGAGGCAUAUCAGAAUUCUCACGAGCAAGAAGUAGACAAUAACGGCUCAAUCAAUGUCAAAGAUGAUCAAAAUAGGUAUUUAUUCAAAACCUAUUUCAUCAAUCCUCAUAAAAUCCACCCCAUAAGGUCAAAGCCUCCCCCAUUCAUCGUGGACGCGUGAGGCUCUUAGCCUUGAGCUAAGGUGUUAAUUGUUUUGCAGGUGCAUUUUUGUCCGAGAAGAAGAAGACAAAAAUUUGCAUCCACAGUAUUGCAAACCAAGUCGACGAGCUCCAUCUGUAACGCCGUCUGGAUCUCGUUUUCUCCGACGACCUGGUGAAUAAGGUCAAGAAUUAGAGGUACGCAGGCCCAACAACGACAGUUUUCUUCGACUUGCCUACGUUUGGGUUUUUCUCUAUUAGUUGGACGACGACUCCAGCUGGGUAAGCAGCAGCGGCCCAACCUUACACUUCUACACUGUACCAAAGCUACCCCAUCCCUUGGAAUUCUGUUGUCGAAUCUCGGAUCGCACCUUCUUCUUGAUCUCGAGAUCGACGGUGCCGACGAGGCCUAGCACUAAGUUACUUAAUACGGAAAGGUAGAAAGGUGAGAAGAAUGCAGAUAAAAUUAAACAUCUAAUAUACGAUAAAUGAUGUUCAUUGAAGGAAUUUCAAAAGCUGAAAUUGGUGAUAAGAAAUGGACAAGAAGCUCGGUUAAAAACAACAUGUCAGAGCAAAAUGAACAAUGAGUCACUACCAUAAAGCAUCUUGGGUUCAACCUUGCCUUACAAUUGACUUGGGAAAUGAAAACAAACAUUCGUUGUGUAGCUCCAAUAAAUCCUUAACACCUCAAUGUGGGCAAAUGAUUUUGGUCAAAUGGGUGGAUGUGAAAUAGGGGUGGGAAGCAGAGACCAAUGCGAGCAGGCAAUUUAGAACGUGUCUUGAGGGCAGAGAGUUUCGAGAGAGAAGUGACUGGUGAGGACACUCGUCUUGAGCUCCACCAUGGCCACGUGGGUCGACAGGGAAGAAGAACCGAAAGAAGAAUAGACUUUUUUACGUUUCUUUUUUUAGUUUUUUCUUAAAUUGGUUUUUAAUAUUUAAUUGUUUUUGUUUGCCACAUCAUCAUAACAUGUGAGCCUUAUGUUUGCCAUGUUAUCACUUAACAGUUAGAUUGACGGUUUGACUAAGUGCAAUGAAUUGAUAAGUAAUAUAUUGAACUGAAAUGUUUUAAAAAUGUUGUAUGAGGUUCGAAUUGCAUCUACACCUGACGAGGUAAAAUACAAUUUACCCAUAAAAAAUGUUUUUAUCAACACAAAUCAUUCCUAACUCAACAAUAUAACUUCAACAAACAAAAGUGAACAACAUAGCCCUUAUACACAACCUAUCAACAACAUCCAUAAACCCACACCGGACCCAAAUUUCACAAAACUUCCUCCAAUAUCCACCAAUUUCAACUAAUUUCAUCAAGAACAUGCAUAAUUAACCUUAAACACUAAACUAAUUAAUGAAAUUAAAUAGAAAUAAAAAAAAUUUAUUUCUAGUGUUCCAAAUUUCCAAACUCAUCAAAUCUCAUAUUUACCUUGGGGAAGUGUGAUGUUGAGUAUUGGGGAAGUAAGGACUCUGAACCCAACUUGAAUCAAGCAAGCACCACGUUAUUUAUGUGGAACAACUAGACACCCUCGAAACAAACUCGCCUGCUUUUUUAAACUGCUGUGUGGAAGUGCGGUUAGGCUGGAGACGACAAGCACAACAUAACUACGACUGAGUUUUGAACCACAAGGAAAUUUUCAAACAAGAACAAAAUUUUUGAUGGUAAGGAAGUUUGAAAUCGCUCACGGGAGAUGGAGAGUUUGGGCGUUAGGAAGGUAACUAUUGUUGGGGAGAAGGAGAUUUUAAAUCUAAAAGUUUUAAAACAGUUGUCGGGUACAAUUUGGAAUUAAUGACAUGUCAUUUAUGAUUCGGUUUCACCCUAACUCAUUUUGAUGGAUUUAUUUUCAGCAAUUCAGAUUUGAUACAACGGACCUAAUUUGGUACGCACAUAAGUUUCACAAAGUGCAGUCCGCACCUUAGAAAACGUGAAGCCUUGUUAGGGUUUACGGUCUUUUAGGCCUUGUUAAGUAUUUUGGAACUUACAAGUUGGACUUACAAGUCCAACACACAAGUUCAUCAAAGGUGGUUACCUAGGGAUGGCAACGGUUCGGUUUGGGGACGGAAAUACUAUAUCCAUCCCCAUAACCACUAAAAUUAACCAUAUCCAUACCUGCAAAUUAACUAUCGGGUAUUAUCCAUAACAAUACACGCCGGAUAACGGAUUCCCCAUCAGUUAACGGUUAUAUCCAUCUUCGUCAAUACAAAAAAUAUAUUCGCCCAAUUGACACAUGAUAAUUUAGUAAAUAUUAUUUUCGUCAUUAAAUAUUAGAUGUAUAAAAUGAUUUAAUAAAUGGAUCUUGUGGAGCAUAAAAUUAAAGCUAAACAUUGAUAAUGUUAGCUGAUCUUUGAUAUCUCCCAUAAGCACCAUUGAAUUUCAUAGAUUUUGAUUCAUAUCAAAACUUUUGAACUUUCACACAAAAUGCAACUCACAUAAUGCAAUUUUUGUAUUCUCAAGGUAAUGGAUUCGGUAAAUAAUGAAUAUAUAUAUAUAUAUUAUAACACUUUAAUAUUAUAUAUAAUUAUAUUAUAUUAUUCGGUUCAGAUUCGGAUACGGAUACAGAUUGGGGACCCCUAUAACCAUAUUCAAAACCAUAAUCAAAUAAUAUUCAUGGUUUUUCUCCAUACCCAAAAUAUACCCAAAUUUUCAUACCCAAAUCCAAUCCAUUCGGACGGUUAUCGACAAUUAUCGGAUUUAAUGGUUUGAAUUGCCAUCCCUAUGGUUACCUCCACUAGCUUGCCCAUUAGACUAUGUACAAACCUCUGGCUUAAAAGCUUAAAUAUACCACACAAAAAAUAGUUUAUUCUUUUUCCACCAAAUGGUUAUGGUUUAAAAUUGAAAUUACAUAUUAUUAAGAAUGAUUUUAGCCUAAUUUUUUUUUUGUUCAUUUUUUUUAAAUAAAAUUCAUGUAGAUUAUCUUAGAUUAUUUUUAGGAGCAUUUUAGCCCAAAAUAUUUAAAUUCCCAUAAACAAUGAAAAAUCACAUAAACUAGGUCAUCUAACAUGAUCUUUUAGGGUAAAUUACAUAAAAUUACCUCAACUAUUAGGUCAGUCACAGUUUCGUACCCCAUCUUUAAAAAAAUGCCAAUGUCAUACCUCAUCUUACGAAUUUGUUACAAUUUCAUACCUUCCGUCGGUUUGUCUGUCAAUUCUUCCGUUAAAUAGUGACGUGGCUUGAUAUGGGGCCCACUCUCUAUAAAAAAAUAAUUAAAUAUUAAAAACUAUAAAAAUAAAAUCAUUUAAUAAUUUUUUUUUUUGCAUGGGGGACCCAGCCCUUAUCCCUCUCACUCUUUCUUCCCCAUCCACCCAUGUCCCCCCAACCUUCCUUCAACUCCAAAACCAGAACCCCCUGCCAUUUUAGCAAUCUCUGCAACUAUUCAGAAAAUUCACAAAGCCCAACAUUUUAGUAAUCUCUGCAAUUAUUUUUCAAAACAAACUUUUUCUACUACAACUAUUCAGAAAAUUCACAAAGCCCAACAUUUUAGCAAUCUCUGCAACCUUCAACCCAAAAUCACAGCAAGCUUUGAACUUGCUGCGUCUUGGAAAUCAAAGUGGCCAUUCCCUUCAACCUCUAACUCUGAAACCCUCCAUUAAAACCCAGAACUUCAAAUUCCUUCGAUGUCUUCUCGACACCAAAAUGCCUGCAGAUCAGACAAUGGUCUCAUCUCCCUCCACCACCAAAGUUCCUACUUGCAGCCACCCAUGCACAAACUUGUCUCUGCAACCCAGCUACAUGAAGGAUGAUUUUGUGAAAAACAUGUUCAUUUGAAUAACAUCUAUAGCAUGCAUUUAACAAUUAAAAGGCGGAAUCAUGCUUGGAUGCAUUCAAAAACAAAACAUUACCCAUGAAAUUCAAAGCCUAGUAGAUUGGUGAACCAAGACUCAACUCA
rnacentral:lncRNA from 1 species